rnacentral:rRNA from 1 species
CAGUCGCCGCGGUAAUACAGAGGGUGCGAGCGUUAAUCGGAUUUACUGGGCGUAAAGCGUGCGUAGGCGGCUUCUUAAGUCGGAUGUGAAAUCCCUGAGCUUAACUUAGGAAUUGCAUUCGAUACUGGGAAGCUAGAGUAUGGGAGAGGAUGGUAGAAUUCCAGGUGUAGAGGUGAAAUGCGUAGAGAUCUGGAGGAAUACCGAUGGCGAAGGCAGCCAUCUGGCCUAAUACUGACGCUGAGGUACGAAAGCAUGGGGAGCAAACAGGAUUAGAUACCCGGGUAGUCCCUGUCUCUUAUAC